rnacentral:lncRNA from 1 species
AUGUACAGCAGGCACCAUCUCUCACUGUGUGCCUCAGGCUGCUUCCUAAACAAGGUUCCCCUUUCCUCCACAGCUGUGUUUGGCAUAGGAAGAUCUCAUUCUGUUUUUGUCUGUGGCUGUAGGAAGUAUGCUGCUUUAGUGAAGCAUGCUGUGAGGCAGAGCCCCAGCUCUGCCCAUUUCCAGCCACUGGCAUCGCCUGCCCUGGCUGCAGGAUCAUUGCUCCACAAGACAACCUUCUUACAACCUUACGGAGCAGAACUUCUGCAGUCUGCAUUACUGAGCUACCACCCGAGGCCCAGAUUCACAAAGGGCCAGCCAGGUCCUGCCCUGCAGGAUGGGGAUGAGAGAUGUCUGGCAGCAGAAACACCAGGUGGAGUUUCCCGACUGAGAGCUGAGUGCCAGCUGCCCUCACCCUGACACCAAGAGAGGUCAAGAGGAUAAUCCCUGUGCUACACGAGGCUAAGAGGUGUAUUUUCACCUCUGGGCAGAAGGAGCAGCACAAAGCACUUGCAGAGUGGUGGUACUUUGGAGGGGAGCACUGGGUCAGCUGCUCAGUGCAUUGCGUGCCGGGCUGCUUUGGAUCUCAGAUAGGAUCUAAAAGAAGACAUUGCAGAAGGGUCUGCCCUCCCAAGCGUGUGCUGUCUUCCUCCCACCAUCACAGCCACUGGCUCCCUCAUCGUGUUUUUCUGUGCAAGGUGAGCAUUGGCUGCUGUUGUGGGAGCACAGUGGGGAUGCCUGCGGGGUCACCCCACAGUGGCAGCUGCAGAGCCUCUGGGCCAA